rnacentral:rRNA from 1 species
GCUUACGGCCAUACCACCCUGAGAACGCCCGAUCUCGUCUGAUCUCGGAAGCUAAGCAGGGUCGGGCCUGGUUAGUACUUGGACGGCAGACCGCCUGGGAAUACCAGGUGCUGUAAGCC